UGGGGAAUAUUGCACAAUGGGCGCAAGCCUGAUGCAGCCAUGCCGCGUGUAUGAAGAAGGCCUUCGGGUUGUAAAGUACUUUCAGCGAGGAGGAAGGCGUUGUGGUUAAUAACCGCAGCGAUUGACGUUACUCGCAGGAGAAGCACCGGCUAACUCCGUGCCAGCAGCCGCGGUAAUACGGAGGGUGCAAGCGUUAAUCGGAAUUACUGGGCGUAAAGCGCACGCAGGCGGUCUGUCAAGUCGGAUGUGAAAUCCCCGGGCUCAACCUGGGAACUGCAUCCGAAACUGGCAGGCUAGAGUCUUGUAGAGGGGGGUAGAAUUCCAGGUGUAGCGGUGAAAUGCGUAGAGAUCUGGAGGAAUACCGGUGGCGAAGGCGGCCCCCUGGACAAAGACUGACGCUCAGGUGCGAAAGCGUGGGGAGCAAACA
rnacentral:rRNA from 1 species